rnacentral:lncRNA from 12 species
GGGGCAUCAGGGAGAGGUGGCAAAUAAAGGGACAUUCUUGGAGUCUGAACAAGAUACAGCUCCCUAUCACCCUGCCUCUCUGGUUAAAGGUUUGUCUUUGCUCUUUCCACAGGGCCUGGAAGGUUUUCCCUUCCUGCCUCCCUGAGCUGUUUUACCUCACAACAUUGCACACCGGAGACAAUUUUCUCUUCAAUUGCUCCUGAUCUCAGCCCUGAGUCAUGGACCACUCCAGUGUGGUGGAGGACCUCCCUGAUUUGUGGCAGGAGGACAGCUUGGUGAAGACCUGAAAGAAAAAGAGCCUGGCUGUAGAACUGGACCCUUAAAAUGGAUUGAUUUCUUUGAAGGUAAUGGCAUUACCCAGUGUGCUCCAGCUUUCUGUCUGAAAGGGGCCACAGACUCUCGCAGAUCCACAACCUGUGUGUUGCCCUGAAUUGCUGGGAUUUUCCCUGUAUACGAUGAUGAUUUUUAUUUACUGUGGCAGAGAGGAACGAAUGAGGAUCUGCCACAGCUAUGAAUAGAAGCAAUUCCACACCUGUCCCUUUAACUGCACAUUUGUGGUUGGCUGCCUUUUAUUGUCCUCCCCUCUCUGUGGCUGCAGGGCUCUGUGUGUGUGUGUGUGUGUGUGUGUGUGUGUGUGUGUAAGGAUUUCCCAGCCUGGUGGGUGACCCCUCAUCUUGCUGCUCCAAGCAGUGGCUUCCGUCCCCUCCUUUCUCUCCAAUAUUUAUUGGAAGCACGUGCUGAGGAAUCUGUGAGCCUGCAAUGCUAAUGAGUGCAUGCAUGGAGCAGGGCAGCAGAUGCAAAGGGACAGGCACGUUUCCUAAUGAGGGAGUCUCGAGACCCAUCUGUUGAGUCUCGUGGGCCCUCAAUGGAGUUUGCUGCCCGAGGUUGCCAGUGGAGGUUUUUUUUUUCUCUGAUGCUUUUAGUUCUCAACAAGUGCAAUCCUGUAUAGAGCAGCAUGUCA